GCAGGAAGUUUUAAAAGAAAGCUGUAGAUCACAGUUUUAAGAAUGGAAUAUCACACGCCACGAUCAAAUGCCACCACUCUGAGUACAAACAAGAGGACUGCUGAAAUCCUUCAUUUGCUACAGAAGAGUGACUUUUGGUACACACACACACGGACACACACACACACACACUACA